rnacentral:rRNA from 1 species
UGGAAGUAAAAAUCGUAACAAGGUCUCCGUUGGUGAACCAGCGGAGGGAUCAUUACAGAGUUGCAAAACUCCCUAAACCAUUGUGAACGUUACCUAUACCGUUGCUUCGGCGGGCGGCCCCGGGGUUUACCCCCCGGGCGCCCCUGGGCCCCACCGCGGGCGCCCGCCGGAGGUCACCAAACUCUUGAUAAUUUAUGGCCUCUCUGAGUCUUCUGUACUGAAUAAGUCAAAACUUUCAACAACGGAUCUCUUGGUUCUGGCAUCGAUGAAGAACGCAGCGAAAUGCGAUAAGUAAUGUGAAUUGCAGAAUUCAGUGAAUCAUCGAAUCUUUGAACGCACAUUGCGCCCGCCAGCAUUCUGGCGGGCAUGCCUGUUCGAGCGUCAUUUCAACCAUCAAGCCCCCGGGCUUGUGUUGGGGACCUGCGGCUGCCGCAGGCCCUGAAAAGCAGUGGCGGGCUCGCUGUCGCACCGAGCGUAGUAGCAUACAUCUCGCUCUGGUCGCGCCGCGGGUUCCGGCCGUUAAACCACCUUUUAACCCAAGGUUGACCUCGGAUCAGGUAGGAAGACCCGCUGAACUUAAGCAUAUCAAUAAGCCGGAGGAAACG